rnacentral:rRNA from 1 species
AUUGAACGCUGGCGGCAUGCCUUACACAUGCAAGUCGAACGGCAGCACGGGUGCUUGCACCUGGUGGCGAGUGGCGAACGGGUGAGUAAUACAUCGGAACGUACCUUAUCGUGGGGGAUAACGCAGCGAAAGCUGUGCUAAUACCGCAUACGCCCUGAGGGGGAAAGCGGGGGAUCGAAAGACCUCGCGCGAUUAGAGCGGCCGAUGCCUGAUUAGCUUGUUGGUGGGGUAAAAGCCCACCAAGGCGACGAUCAGUAGCUGGUCUGAGAGGACGAUCAGCCACACUGGGACUGAGACACGGGCCCAGACUCCUACGGGAGGCAGCAGUGGGGAAUUUUGGACAAUGGGGGCAACCCUGAUCCAGCAAUGCCGCGUGAGUGAAGAAGGCCUUCGG